rnacentral:lncRNA from 1 species
CUUAGCUUUUGAGGAGAUCAUGAACCUAGGACCCAUCUAUCUGGCCUGAGGGUGUGGGCAGCAAGCCCCAGGGAUGCCCCUCUCUGCCCCCCCAACACUGCAGUGAUAGGUGCAUGUCGCUGUGCCUGAGUCUUUAUGUGGUGGUUAGGGGUCAAACUCAGGCCUUCAUGCUUACAAAACAAGUACUUUACUCACCAAACCAUUUCCAUGACCCCAAGAUCUUAUUCUGAUGUCACAGAGGAGGAAAGGAACAUGUUCUCAGGGGCCAUUGGCAGGUUCCACCCUUGGCAGUUUUCUGAGGCUGAGCUUCCCUCGCAUGCAUCAUACAGUCUCAAUCCCACCUUGCUGCCUCCAUUUUACAGAUGAUGUAUCCAAGGCAGGAGCAGCUCUCUGGGUGUUUCUGACUUUAAACCAGAAGGUUUGUUCAGUGGUUGAGACCAGACUGGGAGAGGGGACAGACGACCACAGCAGUGGCACCACCACUGAUGGGGACAGUUUUGUGAACUGGCCUCACCUGGGCUGGAAAUGGCUCAGGACAUAA